CAUCCCUGUAUUUGGGGUUACUCUUAUGUGCGUCUCCCUUUUUCAAUUUGAGCGCUGCCGACAGUUGCAAAAUGUUUAUGAAUAAAAUAUCUCUUAAGAGCAACUAUUUCUUUUUCUUCACUUAUUCCUUACAAAAUAAACUCUUAAAAAAUACACACAAACUGACAUCUCAGUUAGACGUCGCACCCUUCUAACCCCCGCUGACCCAAGUCGAUUGGCCAUGUACAAAAAUCUUUACAUAUUCCUCAAAUUAAAUGUGUAUUAUUAGCAUUAACAAAUUUAGUAUGUAUGUACAUAUGUCAAUUUGUUUGGGACUGAGUAAAUUUGUUUAAAAUAUAGUCGGCGAACAUAUCAAACAAAAUAUGUGUGAUAAACUGUCCUAUUUAAUCCAACUUAGGAAAAAGGGAUGGAAUAUCAUAUCUCGUUCUGGCCCAACUGCACAGAACACAACUUGUUGUAAGAAGCGAGAUAAAUUGAAUACCCCUAUAGUAUCCUCUCGUUUCGACGCAACUGCGCAAUACCCAACGUUAUGCGACAGGUAGAGUGUGUUCAAGACGCACUACAAUAUGAAGCGAAGACACAAACCACGAAACACUUGAAAAAAUCAUGUAAAAUGUAAAACCAACAAUAAAAUUUUCUUAAUACUGGCGGUUUGAUACAUAUAUUGUAAAA
rnacentral:sRNA from 1 species